rnacentral:rRNA from 1 species
AUUGAACGCUGGCGGCAUGCCUUACACAUGCAAGUCGAACGGCAGCGCGGGGCAACCUGGCGGCGAGUGGCGAACGGGUGAGUAAUAUAUCGGAACGUACCCUGGAGUGGGGGAUAACGUAGCGAAAGUUACGCUAAUACCGCAUACGAUCUAUGGAUGAAAGCAGGGGACCGCAAGGCCUUGUGCUCCAGGAGCGGCCGAUAUCUGAUUAGCUAGUUGGUGGGGUAAAGGCCUACCAAGGCAUCGAUCAGUAGCUGGUCUGAGAGGACGACCAGCACACUGGAACUGAGACACGGUCCAGACUCCUACCGGGAGGCAGCAGU